CACUGGCAUAGAUGUCCAUCCAUCAUUUGUGAUCAUUUGCAUUCAGCAGCAAACAUGAGGCGCAAGCGGUCGCGAGCGCGGAUGGGGGAAUUGCGCGUCAAGGUUUUUUUUUUUUAACUCCCCCGGGAGUUUGUGCCCUUGGGAGCGGCUGUACUGAUUACACAACACCGGCAAACAGUGGGAAUAUAGUAAUCCGGACAAAGCGUGCAGUCUUUGUGGCCUUCGUCUCAGUGUGACCCAGGUUUAAUGAUGGUGCCCAAUCCGGAUGCGAGGAAAGAAACAAUGUAUAAAAAGAAAAUCGUACACCAUCUCUAACUCACCAGAAUGAAAAUGCAGGGAACACACUCUCAUCGACAUCGGGAUACUGUGGAAUGUAAUGCUUGGUCGUCUUACAGCCGCGAUCCAAGCGAGCCG